GAUGAACGCUGGCGGCGUGCCUAAUACAUGCAAGUCGAGCGAACGGACGAGAAGCUUGCUUCUCUGAUGUUAGCGGCGGACGGGUGAGUAACACGUGGAUAACCUACCUAUAAGACUGGGAUAACUUCGGGAAACCGGAGCUAAUACCGGAUGAUAUUUUGAACCGCAUGGUUCAAAAGUGAAAGACGGUCUUGCUGUCACUUAUAGAUGGAUCCGCGCUGCAUUAGCUAGUUGGUAAGGUAACGGCUUACCAAGGCAACGAUGCAUAGCCGACCUGAGAGGGUGAUCGGCCACACUGGAACUGAGGCACGGUCCAGACUCCUACGGGAGGCAGCAGUAGGGAAUCUUCCGCAAUGGGCGAAAGCCUGACGGAGCAACGCCGCGUGAGUGAUGAAGGUCUUCGGAUCGUAAAACUCUGUUAUUAGGGAAGAACAUAUGUGUAAGUAACUGUGCACAUCUUGACGGUACCUAAUCAGAAAGCCACGGCUAAUUACGUG
rnacentral:rRNA from 1 species